rnacentral:rRNA from 1 species
UCGGGAAUUUUGGGCAAUGGGCGAAAGCCUGACCCAGCAACGCCGCGUGAAGGAUGAAGUAUUUCGGUAUGUAAACUUCGAAAGAAUAGGAAGAAUAAAUGACGGUACUAUUUAUAAGGUCCGGCUAACUACGUGCCAGCAGCCGCGGUAAUACGUAGGGUGCAAGCGUUAAUCGGAAUUACUGGGCGUAAAGCGUGCGCAGGCGGUUGUGUAAGUCAGAUGUGAAAUCCCCGGGCUCAACCUGGGAAUUGCAUUUGAGACUGCACGGCUAGAGUGUGUCAGAGGGGGGUAGAAUUCCACGUGUAGCAGUGAAAUGCGUAGAUAUGUGGAGGAAUACCGAUGGCGAAGGCAGCCCCCUGGGAUAACACUGACGCUCAUGCACGAAAGCGUGGGGAGCAAACAGGAUUAGAUACCCAUGUAGUCCCUGAGCGGGCUGGCAAGGCGCAU